GCCUCCCCCCCAACCAGGGGUGCAGCUGUGCAUCAGUGGAGUGCCUCUGCCCUGUGGCCUCUGCAGAGGGGACAGCUCUGCCUCCUGCCUGUUCCCCACUGCUCCUGCACUCUGCUGUCACUGAGGAGUGGGAUUUGAGGUGUUUGAGAUCCCCCAUGGAAAGAAAAGCGUGACAGACCUGAUCAGUUCACGUCCUAGCAUGUGGAAGUCUCCAAGAUCAGCUAACCUCACUGCAGCAGUGUGGGAGAUGGGCAUGAGGAGGAAGAGGAAGAGCAUCACCAAAGAUUUGUGAAGACCUUGGAAGAGUCCACUGAAAAUGAAGAUAUUGUUUAAAUAUAAU